GUUCCAUAGCAACCGUAAAGAACAACAUGGCAAAAGCAACAACUAUUAAAGAGGCCCUGGUGAAAUGGGAGGAGAAAACAGGCGAAAAAGCGAGCGAGGCCACGGCAGUAAAGCUUUAUGGUCAGAUCCCCCCCGUUGAAAAAAUGGACGCAUCUCUCUCUAAUCUUACCAACUGCGAGUGAGUCUAAAUAUACAACUCCAAUUUUUUUGUGUAUUUUCUCUUUAACCAUCUUCCAUGUGAGUCAUAUAUAAUAACUCCCUAAAAUAUCUUCAUUGCAAAUUCUGUCCUGCC